CUAUGCCUGUGGGUUUCCAUUUGAACUCUUGGCACAUUUGGUCUUGACUCCCCUCAUUCUCUCUUCUUUUUCUCUCUCCUCCCUUUGAUACACCUUUAUUUCUCUCUCUUAUUCCUCUCUUCUCUCCUCUUUGGCUUUAUAAGUCUUACUGCAUCAUCUCAAGUGCUUAAUAAAUGCAAUUUUUGUUUAUUUUUACAGAAUCAAAUCAAAUCCAUCUCUGAGGCUCCCUCUCUCCCAAAUGGCAAGAAAAUCCAAUCUCAGCCAUGAUGGAGAGGGGCAUGAGGGUGGAAUUCUCCUCCUCUUUCUCUUUCUCUUUCUCUAGGGCCAUAUAGCAAAUUGAUUUUAGUUUUAAAGGGAAAUUUCAGAUUUGGGUCUAGGCUAUCCAUUCAACUCACCGGAAAAGCAAUCGAGACAAGAACUCAAGGUUGUACUACUGGCCAGGAAUGAAGUCAGUGCACUUGGCUGCUGCAUUCCCUGAGGUGUGUCUCUUGGAAUUUGGUGUUUUCUUCAAGCUCCUGGAUCUGCCUCUCUCCAACAUCUGCCUGCUGUCCCAUAUAUACUAAAAUAUAGACAAAAUUAAACAUGCUUAAAGAAAUCUUCUGCAUUUCUUUGGCGGUGAUGCUGACGGAAGUCUUGAGGAUGCCCAGGAACUGCUGGGUUGUUCUUCCUAAGUAUUCGCAGAAGGAGUGAAGGUGACUACUGCAUUCAGAGGCAGUUAAUUUCCUAAGUGCAAGGCUUUAUUCAUUUUGAAGAGAACUUGGUUUGGCUGGUGUUCCAGAAACUGCAGCAAAGAAACUCAGGAGAAAAUCUUCUGUAUUUGAAUGUGGCAUAUUUCAUGAGUCUCUAAGUCUAUGCAGACUCAUUUCCAUGAGUCUAUGCAGAAGUCCACUUUUUGUGAGAAGUCAAAUAACUCAUCAGUUUGCAGCUUUGGUCCCAUUUGCAACUCAUGCUGCUACUUUGCGGGGGAGGAAAGGCCUUGGCAAAUGUCUGCGUUCCCACACCAGGCAAGAAAACCAACGUCUGCAAAGAGUGUUGAAUACCAUCUCUACUGGAUCAUGCCAGGACAAGUGGACCAUUCAGAACGACUAUUGGAGUCCAAGUUCCGGUGUAUUAUCUUCUCUUCCAUUCCAGAGAGCAUCUUCUCCAGAUAGGCAGGGGUUAGAAAAUCUUUUAUCAGUACUCUGAUAAAUGCAAGUUUAUAGAAAGAAAUUCAAUUAGCAGAGGAAAAUCAUAACAUAGAUAAAGUGAUGUAUGAAUAUACAAACAACUUUUACAUCUGUAGGCUCUUUUCUGCCCAGAAUAUCUGCUCUACAGCCCAUUCUCCUCACUCUCUGCCUCUGGGAAGCAGGAGGCUCCCUUUCCAGGGCUGCCUCAGCCAAGGCUGGUUUACACUCCCAACCCUGACCUGGCCAGUCCUCUGAGACUUCUCCAGGACUCCAGUGGAUGUCUGCCUUGGGGCUUUUGCUUGCCUGGUUUCUGGCUUCCCCAUGUUUGUUGCUGAACUACAGUGCCCUCCAGUUGGAGGAAAGAAGGAGAGAAAACUCUCUCACAUCCACUUCUGAAGUCUUGCUUUGCUUUUUCUUCUUGCCACCGUGUUGCUGGCCCAUCUCCGGCCUCCAUCUAUCUACACGCCAGACAAAGAAGACACGAGAAAAAUUCAAGCAACUCCUCUCCAUGCUUCAUAAAUGAUCAGCAGAACUCCACCUAACCACUGACCAGGUGUUUCCGGCUCGCAUUUUUCUGCCUGACAGACCCCUGCAAAGGAUCUGUCUCUGGUCACGACCAGGACCUAGUGACUGAAAGCAGAAGAAUUUCACCUAUUCCUAAGUGUGGGCAAGACACUGGAAAUAAUGUGCAUCAAUCAUCAAGAGUCCAGACGCAGCUUCAACAGCAUGUAACUGGCUGAGUGGCUCUACGUUGGUCGUCUCCUCCUUGAAUCCCAAAGGAAGAAAAUGGAGCAAAGGUCCCUUCUCGUUGAGGUUUCUUCCCUUAUAUGACACAAAUAACCCUCUCUAGGCAAAAAUCUGAGAGGGGAAUAUCAGGAAACAUAAGACUGAACACUUGAAUCUCAGUUUUCUUUCUCUUUUGUUCCCUAUAAUUCCCCACGCUGGAAAUGGGGAGGGUUUUGUUUUUCUUUACCUACAUUUUGAUCUUUCUACGACUGAACAAGAGAUUUCCUGCCAUUGCAUUCACAGGUGGAAAUGGAAUUUUCUCAGCACUAAGAAGAACUCAGUAGGCCUUGGUGUUCCCGGAUUGGUUGAUACACUAAAGAAGGAAAUAAGAGCAUUUGGGAAAUCCUUUCUUUUUAACAAAUGCAUGGCUCUAAGCUUAUUGACUUUCUGUUAAAUCCUAUUUUGUAUGUGAGAUGCUAAAUAGUACAUCAGUCUUUAUUUUUGUUUUUCUCUCCUCACCACAUUUCCCCAAGUAGAUGGAUGCUCUAGGACAUGUACUUGGAAAUGCAAAACAAAUAAAGCACAUUAAUAAUUUUAAAACUGUCUCCAAUAUAUACUGCUAUAUUAUAAAUUAUAA